CAGUAGCCACGGUAAUGCGGAGGGGGCUAGCGUUGUUCGGAAUUACUGGGCGUAAAGCGCACGUAGGCGGCUUGGUAAGUUAGAGGUGAAAGCCUGGAGCUCAACUCCAGAAUUGCCUUUAAGACUGCCGAGCUAGCAGGUGAGAGAGGUAAGUGGAAUUCCGAGUGUAGAGGUGAAAUUCGUAGAUAUUCGGAAGAACACCAGUGGCGAAGGCGGCUUACUGGCUCAUACUGGACGCUGAGGUGCGAAAGCGUGGGGAGCAAACAGGAUUAGAUACCCCUGUAGUCCCUGUCUCUUAUAC
rnacentral:rRNA from 1 species